GAUGAACGCUGGCGGCGUGCCUAAUACAUGCAAGUCGAGCGAACAGACGAGGAGCUUGCUCCUCUGACGUUAGCGGCGGACGGGUGAGUAACACGUGGAUAACCUACCUAUAAGACUGGGAUAACUUCGGGAAACCGGAGCUAAUACCGGAUAAUAUAUUGAACCGCAUGGUUCAAUAGUGAAAGACGGUUUUGCUGUCACUUAUAGAUGGAUCCGCGCCGCAUUAGCUAGUUGGUAAGGUAACGGCUUACCAAGGCAACGAUGCGUAGCCGACCUGAGAGAGUGAUCGGCCACACGGGAACUGAGACACGGUCCAGACUCCUACGGGAGGCAGCAGUAGGGAAUCUUCCGCAAUGGGCGAAAGCCUGACGGAGCAACGCCGCGUGAGUGAUGAAGGUCUUCGGAUCGUAAAACUCUGUUAUUAGGGAAGAACAAAUGUGUAAGUAACUAUGCACGUCUUGACGGUACCUAAUCAGAAAGCCACGGCUAACUACGUG
rnacentral:rRNA from 1 species